UUACUAAGGUUCAAUAUGUACCAUAUUAAGAGAACUUUGUCCUCAAACACUUAAAUAACUUAACUAAAAGCAGCACUGUUAAUAUCAUAAAAUUUCUAGGGAGAAACACAUAUCCUCUGCUCUCCGUGUUCUAUAGAGGAGAGUUGACUUCAAUUCUCUAGAAGAAAAAAAUCUGAGAGCAGCUCUAGUUUCCACCCAAUGCCAAAUCUCUCUAGUUCAGUGAGAACUGAACAGAAGGAAACACAUGUGAAUAAGUAGCUUAGGAACUCCUGAGUUCUCUUCGGAGAUCUUUGGAGAAGCUGAUCCUGGAUGCACGUAUUCACCUCUGCCAGGAGGGGAGAGGACUCUGAAGACCAAGAAGAGGACUGAGCCACAAUAUGGAAGAUCAUUUUCCAAAAAUAGCCAAGCGAAGACCCCUCAACCAUGAGGAUUCUUGGUAGACUGUGACAUAAAAAUAAAAUAAAGAUUGACUGUGUUAAAUUGC